UACGAGGGGUGCAAGCGUUGCUCGGAAUUAUUGGGCGUAAAGGGUUGGUAGGUGGUCUUGUUUGUCUAGGGUGAAAUCCCAUGGCUUAACUGUGGAAGUGCCCUAGAAACGGCAAGACUAGAGUCCUAGAGGGGUUUGUGGAAUUCCCGGUGUAGCGGUGAAAUGCGUAGAUAUGCGGAGGAACACCGAUGGCGAAGGCAAUCCCCUGGGCCUGCACUGACGCUCAUGCACGAAAGCGUGGGGAGCAAACAGG
rnacentral:rRNA from 1 species